rnacentral:rRNA from 1 species
UACGAAGGGGGCUAGCGUUGUUCGGAAUUACUGGGCGUAAAGCGAACGUAGGCGGUGUUCCAUGUCAGAGGUGAAAGCCUGGGGCUCAACUCCAGAAUUGCCUUUGAAACGGGAACGCUUGAGUCCGAGAGAGGAUGGCGGAAUUCCUAGUGUAGAGGUGAAAUUCGUAGAUAUUAGGAAGAACACCAGUGGCGAAGGCGGCCAUCUGGCUCGGUACUGACGCUCAGGUUUGAAAGCGUGGGGAGCAAACAGG